rnacentral:ribozyme from 1 species
UUCUUUUUUUUUUAUUGUUUUUUAUUGUUAAAAGGCUAAAAAAAAAAAAAAAAAAAAAAAAAAGACAACACGUUC